rnacentral:tRNA from 1 species
GCCGGUGUAGCUCAGCUGGUUAGAGCAGCCGAUUCGUAAUCGGCAGGUCGCCGGUUCGAAUCCGGCCUCCGGCUCCA